rnacentral:lncRNA from 1 species
ACUGUGUAUCAGAAGCACCAACAACAUGGACGAACGCAAGCAAAACACAUACCCUUGCAACACCAGAUAUACUUUACAACGAGCAGAAUCUUUCAAUCAAUAUUGACUUCGAAUUGGACAAUAAAGCAGUUUGGAUAGGAUAUUUCAAGGCGCUAACAACAUUUGAAUAUUUUGGAUGUAUGAGAGAGGAAAUGGGUAGCGGUUUAAAAUCAUUUAAAUUAAGAAAUAAUGAACCAGGACUUUGCUUUUCUGCAUGUGGAAAACAAGUGUUAGUUGGUCUUCGAGGAAGAAUGUGUUAUUGUUUCGAAAAUGAGACCAUUGUGAACCACCACCUGCCAUAUUGCGAUAUGGCGUGUGAAGGUUAUGAUGGAUUUUUGUGUGGAGGAAAUGAGCAUGUAUCCUUAUACAAGGUCAAUAAAG